UACGUAGGGGGCAAGCGUUGUCCGGAAUCAUUGGGCGUAAAGCGCGUGUAGGCGGCCCGGUAAGUCCGCUGUGAAAGUCGGGGGCUCAACCCUCGAAUGCCGGUGGAUACUGUCGGGCUUAGAGUGCGGAGAGGCGAGUGGAAUUCCUGGUGUAGCGGUGAAAUGCGCAGAUAUCAGGAGGAACACCAAUGGCGAAGGCAGCU
rnacentral:rRNA from 1 species